GAUGAACGCUGGCGGCGUGCCUAAUACAUGCAAGUCGAACGAAACUUCUUUAUCACCGAGUGCUUGCACUCACCGAUAAAGAGUUGAGUGGCGAACGGGUGAGUAACACGUGGGCAGCCUGCCCAAAAGAGGGGGAUAACACUUGGAAACAGGUGCUAAUACCGCAUAACCAUAGUUACCGCAUGGUAACUAUGUAAAAGGUGGCUAUACUACCGCUUUUGGAUGGGCCCGCGGCGCAUUAGCUAGUUGGUAGGGUAAAGGCUUACCAAGGCAAUGAUGCGUAGCCGAAUUGAGAGGUUGAUCGGCCACAUUGGGACUGAGACACGGCCCAAACUCCUACGGGAGGCAGCAGUAGGGAAUCUUCCACGAUGGGCGAAAGCCUGAUGGAGCAACGCCGCGUGGGUGAAGAAGGUCUUCGGAUCGUAAAACCCUGUUGUUAGAGAAGAAAGUGCGUGAGAGUAACUGUUCACGUUUCGACGGUAUCUAACCAGAAAGCCACGGCUAACUACGUG
rnacentral:rRNA from 1 species